rnacentral:rRNA from 1 species
CCUACGGGUGGCAGCAGUGAGGAAUAUUGGUCAAUGGCCGGAAGGCUGAACCAGCCAUGCCGCGUGAAGGUCAGUGCCCUAUGGGCGUUAAACUUCUUUUGUGCGGGAGCAAUAAUGGUCACGUGUGGCCAGACGAGAGUACCGUACGAAUAAGCAUCGGCUAACUCCGUGCCAGCAGCCGCGGUAAUACGGGGGAUGCAAGCGUUAUCCGGAUUUAUUGGGUUUAAAGGGUGCGUAGGCUGUGAGGUAAGUCAGCGGUGAAAUGCCCCCGCUCAACGGGGUGAAGUGCCAUUGAUACUGCCUGGCUGGAAUGCGGAUGCCGUGGGAGGAAUGUGUGGUGCAGCGGUGAAAUGCAUAGAUAUCACACAGAACACCGAUUGCGAAGGCAUCUCACGAAGCCGCGAUUGACGCUGAUGCACGAAAGCGUGGGUAUCAAACAGGAUUAGAUACCCGGGUAGUC